AAUAGAUGACGCCGUUAACUUUUUCUCACAUGUUUAACCAUUCGUCUUAUUCAAAAAAUUUAUGUAAUUAUAAUUUAUUUUGUUAUGAGUUAUUUUAUCACUUUAAGUAUAAUUUAUAUCAUAUACAUUUGCAUAAAAUUUUUGAAUAAGACGAAUAGUCAAACAUGUAAGAAAAAAUCAACGGCGUCAUCUAUU
rnacentral:pre_miRNA from 1 species